AGAGUUUGAUCCUGGCUCAGAAUCAACGCUGGCGGCGCGCCUAACACAUGCAAGUCGAACGAGAAAGUGGAGCAAUCCAUGAGUAAAGUGGCGUACGGGUGAGUAACACGUGGAUAAUCUGCCCUUUAGUGGGGAAUACCGCUGGGAAACCGGCGACAAUACCGCAUAAGCUCGAGAGAGGAAAGCAGCAAUGCGCUGAAGGAGGAGUCCGCGGUCGAUUAGCUAGUUGGUGAGGUAAUGGCUCACCAAGGCUGUGAUCGAUAGCCGGCCUGAGAGGGCACACGGCCACACUGGCACUGAAACACGGGCCAGACUCCUACGGGAGGCAGCAGUGGGGAAUCUUGCACAAUGGGGGCAACCCUGAUGCAGCGACGCCGCGUGAGCGAUGAAGCCCUUCGGGGUGUAAAGCUCUUUCGGCAGGGAAGAUUAUGACGGUACCUGCAGAAGCAGCUGCGGCUAACUACGUGCCAGCAGCCGCGGUAAUACGUAGGCAGCAAGCGUUGUUCGGAGUUACUGGGCGUAAAGGGUGCGUAGGCGGCUCGAUAAGUAUGGUGUGAAAUCUCCCGGCUUAACUGGGAGGGUGCGCUAUAGACUGCCGGGCUAGAGUGUGGGAGAGGAAAGUGGAAUUCCUGGUGUAGCGGUGAAAUGCGUAGAUAUCAGGAGGAACACCGGUGGUGUAAACGGCUUUCUGGACCAUAACUGACGCUGAGGCACGAAAGCGUGGGUAGCAAACAGGAUUAGAUACCCUAGUAGUCC
rnacentral:rRNA from 1 species